GGAAACACAUUAUAACGGUCCUUUAUUAAGGAGCACAUGAAGGGCUGAUAGUACAGCGGCCUGGCAAAAAUAUUAUUUAAGACAGAUUGGUAUGAAAAGGAGAAAUGGGUGGAACGUCUGCUGAGGAGGAAACUGUUUGAGUCAGACACAGCUCCUGCCUUUGAUCCUGUCCUGGUUCUGAAGACAAGAACAUAAAGACAAGGAAGAUAAAUGGACAAAAUGUUCUCAACAGAACCCAGUGCAAACUUGAUGAUGUAUCAUCAAAUAGUAUGGAAACAUGAAUAUUAUGAAAAAAUCCUAUCCACUUCAAAACACACACACACACACACACACACACACACACACACUGAUUCAACUAGGAGUGGCUAAAGACGUUUGGACUUGGAGUGACUUUAAUUAGGAUCACAGUAAUAUGAACUGUACAGACUAGAAGAGAAAAGUAGUUUAGAAGAACAUAGAAUGUGUGUGUCUGUGUGGGUUCAUGCAUGUGCAUAAAAUUAUAGUUCUUAGGAAUGGUAUAAUAUUGAAGAUUUGCUAUAUGGCUCCAGGCAGACGUUGAUCAUAACACCCCAGCUGUGCACAGAAGUUCUCUUUUAAAAAAUGCAAUCAUUGAUUGGCUGAGAGAUAGAAAGCUCCCCAAAGCAAUAUUUGGAAACUAUUGUUUGCUUCCAUUCAUAGUUUAAGAGGGGCAGGAGCAAACGAAAAUCCAGACCUGUAAAUUAUGCAUUCAUGCUAUAAUUAUUCUUUUUCAACAUAAAUACUAUUCACUGGGAGUGUACAGUGCAUAAACAAAAUGCAUGAUUUUAUAUCUAAUACAUCUUGAACACAAUGACAUAUGUCUGUCAGUAUCAACUCAGCCCAGUAUUGUAAGUGGUAAGCUCAAGUCCCUCCAAUAGGCUGCAAGCCUCUAUCACAAGACAGACUUAAUUUAAUUAACCUACUUGGCAGUCUCUGCUCAGCAGGAAUCUUGUAAUGAAAUAACAAGCAAUAACAUAGCCCUCGUCCCUAGAGACAGAAUCCCUUCAGGUCAAGGCUGAAGUCACUGGAAGGAUGAGGUCAGGGGGAGCAUGUGUUCUAACUGCCGCAGUGGCAUCAGAUUAAAGUGGGGAGUUUUCUCAAAUUCAUUUGAUAGCCCAUUUUCUAAUCUUUCUCUCCCUGAAAUGUAAGAAUGCUUUAUACCCUCUCAAAGCAUUUCUGACAACUGUGAGCAACAGCCGUGUAAGAUGAGACCACAAAGUUGCUUGUGGAAGUGAAAUGACUUAUAAAAAUGAUUUUUGUUCA